GUUAAUGUAGCUUAUAUAAAGCAAAGCACUGAAAAUGCUUAGAUGGAUGCCCACAUCCCAUAAACA
rnacentral:tRNA from 1 species